rnacentral:lncRNA from 1 species
UGUUGUGUACAGUACUACUGUAUGUGGGUGUGACAAAAUGAACGAACAAAGCAGAGGUAGUCGAAUAAACAAAUGUAUAUCGGUCGAUAAAAUAUAGAGGUGAGACACUAUGAUCUUAACUAGGUAUAGCUAUCCGCGAGCGUCGCGAAUCCCGAGUGGAUUUCCGUCUCUGGUCCGAAUCAGAGAGUAGUGGCUUGAGCGAUGCCCGAAAUCAGAGUGUGGCGACCCGAGCGAUGGCCGAAAUCAGAAUCCCUUGGCCUGCUCGCGAGGGGAUGGAUGAUCAGCCUGAAGAGAAAGCCGGGGAAGACCGAAGAUAGGGAAAGAAUGAGAAAGUCGCGGACAACGGUGGUGCCUGGCACGGGGUGAAGAUAUGGAAAAAUGAAAAGGCGAGCCAGGCGCCAGGAUGGUGGAUGGAGAUCUAUAGGUAGAAGCAGUUCGCAAAGUCGCGGCGCGGCGCCGCGGACAAGGGUGGCGCCGGCCGCGGGAGAGAAGGUGUAACGGUGCUAAAAAGGGAAAGGAAGCAUGGUAAGGCAUCGUGCUAGGCAUAGGUAGGAACACUACAGUGCCUACACUGAAGACUGCCACUUUAAAAAAACUGGAAAUCUAGCAUACCUACUGUAAUGCAUGAUUUCUCAGAGCUGGGAAGUCAUAAUUCUAGCAGUAAAUAUACGAAGUAGGUAUAUACUUACAUGGAUACCAACAUUGAUAGACCUAGGUCAGUCCAUUAGAAAAGUUUAGUGUGUAGUGUGAUAAUCUCUGCAACUUGGGGGUGAGGGCUGUCCACAUUGCCAACAGAUUCCCCCACUUUGCUUGUCCCACUCUGUUGUUCCCCGGAUCCAAUUACAUAUUGAUCUUAUGCAGAUUGGAGAGGAACUAUGCAAAAGGGCAGUGCAAACGCAAAUCGAGGAAAUGUUUGGAAAGAAACAGCAGAUCCGGGGAGUCCGUCGCCAGAUCAGGAAAUUUCAAAGAACAUAUUGCUAACAGGACGACCUGGGCAACCUGGGUCUAUCCCUAUUGACCUUUUGUCAGUCUGUUGCACUUGCACUUGCACGUCUGUCUCUAUUCUCUAUUUCUCUGUCUGUUGUCAACAACUCAACAAGUUCGAGUUCGCACUUGACGCAUGCGCCGUGCGCUGCCGGUCUGAUCUGAACUCUGGACUGUGA